rnacentral:sRNA from 1 species
GGUGAGUAGGGAAAUGGAGGAUCUCCCAGCUCCGGCUUCUUUAGAAGAGGACAGGGCCCUAUGUUCUACCAGGAUUGAAUAUGAUGCAUAUCGCACUGAUUUAGAAGAACUGAAUCUUGGACCACGUGACGCAAACACUCUGCCAAAGAUUGAGCAGUCACAGCAUCUCUUCCAAGCACAUAAGGAAAAAUAUGAUAAAAUGCGCAAUGAUGUUUCUGUCAAAUUGAAAUUUCUAGAAGAAAAUAAGGUUAAAGUAUUGCACAAUCAGCUGGUCCUUUUCCACAAUGCCAUUGCCGCUUACUUUGCUGGGAAUCAGAAGCAGCUUGAACAGACACUUAAACAGUUCCAUAUCAAAUUGAAAACCCCUGGAGUGGAUGCCCCAUCUUGGCUUGAAGAACAGUAAAAUCACAGCGGAAAAUAAAAAGAAAGUCGCGUUAUUAUAUUUCUAAACAAACCUAACAAGAAUUAAGCAGAGUUGGGGGAAGUGGGUGGGGUGACGAGCAUUAUAGUGAUUCUUGCACAAACAGCUUUAAUUUUUCCCUUUUUCAUACUUUAACAAUUG